UGAACGCUGGCGGCAUGCUUUACACAUGCACGUCGAACGGUAACAGGCCUUCGGGUGCUGACGAGUGGCGAACGGGUGAGUAAUGCAUCGGAACGUACCCAGAGGUGGGGGAUAACGCAGCGAAAGCUGUGCUAAUACCGCAUGUGAUCUGAGGAUGAAAGCGGGGGACCGAGCAGCAAUGUUUGGCCUCGCGCCUUUGGAGCGGCCGAUGUCGGAUUAGCUAGUUGGUGGGGUAAAGGCCUACCAAGGCGACGAUCCGUAGCUGGUCUGAGAGGACGACCAGCCACACUGGGACUGAGACACGGCCCAGACUCCUACGGGAGGCAGCAGUGGGGAAUUUUGGACGAUGGGCGCAAGCCUGAUCCAGCAAUGCCGCGUGCGGGAAGAAGGCCUUCGGGUUGUAAACCGCUUUUGGCAGGAACGAAACGGUGUCCGCUAAUACCGGGCGCUAAUGACGGUACCUGCAGAAUAAGCACCGGCUAACUACGUG
rnacentral:rRNA from 1 species